CGGACGAUCGAUUGCUGCUUACGGGGGGGAGGGAGGGAGGAGGAGGGAGGAGAAUUCGCUGCUGCUGCCGCCGCCGGAGCCCAGCCCUGUCCUGCUUCUUCUGCCGUGGCCCUGCACCCCCUGCCUGCCGGGACACCCCGCGGUUCCAGCUACAGCUACGGAGUUUCUGACACAUCUCGUCUACCACUCCGGGAUUUUGUUCGUCCCUGCUGUUCCAGCUUGCUGCUUCCGAGGUCCCUGCUACAGAUCCUUUAGCUAUGCAGAGGGGCAUCAGGAUCGGCUGCCCCUGGGGGCUUGUAAAGGAAUCCCCUUUCACAUCCCUUCUGCCGGCUGUGCCCGCCAUUGUCAAGGUGCACAGAGACGACUGAUGUCGUGCCACAGCGCCCCCUGCAGCCGCGGGGAAAUCGCCUCACCUGCCCUGCCCAGCUGAGGAGCCACCAGCGCCCUUGCCGGCUGUGACCAUAACUACACCAAAGGGGAAGGUGCCUGACAGACAAGAGAAGGAUGUUACUGGGUUUCUGGUUCUGUUUGUUGUUGCUGCCGUUGUUGUUGUUUGUUUGCCUUGUUAUACAUACUAGUAAAGAUCUGUUAUUCCUUUCCCCA